GAUGAACGCUGGCGGCGUGCCUAAUACAUGCAAGUCGAGCGAACGGACGAGAAGCUUGCUUCUCUGAUGUUAGCGGCGGACGGGUGAGUAACCCGUGGAUAACCUACCUAUAAGACUGGGAUAACUUCGGGAAACCGGAGCUAAUACCGGAUAAUAUUUUGAACCGCAUGGUUCAACAGUGAAAGACGGUCUUGCUGUCACUUAUAGAUGGAUCCGCGCUGCAUUAGCUAGUUGGUAAGGUAACGGCUUACCAAGGCAACGAUGCAUAGCCGACCUGAGAGGAUGAUCGGCCACACUGGAACUGAGACACGGUCCAGACUCCUACGGGAGGCAGCAGUAGGGAAUCUUCCGCAAUGGGCGAAAGCCUGACGGAGCAACGCCGCGUGAGUGAUGAAGGUCUUCGGAUCGUAAAACUCUGUUAUUAGGGAAGAACAUAUGUGUAAGUAACUGUGCACAUCUUGACGGUACCUAAUCAGAAAGCCACGGCUAACUACGUG
rnacentral:rRNA from 1 species